rnacentral:rRNA from 1 species
UAAUACGUAGGGGGCGAGCGUUGUUCGGAUUUACUGGGCGUAAAGCGUGCGUAGGCGGUUGGGAAAGUCUGGCGUGAAAUCUUCCCGCUCAACGGGAAGCCUGCGCCGGAAACUAUCCAACUGGAGAGCAGAAGAGGAAAGCGGAAUUCCAGGUGUAGCGGUGGAAUGCGCAGAUAUCUGGAAGAACACCAGUGGCGAAGGCGGCUUUCUGGUCUGUUUCUGACGCUGAGGCACGAAAGCCAGGGGAGCGAACGGGAUUAGAUACCCCGGUAGUCCUGGCUGUAAACGGUGGGCGCUAGGUGUGGGAGGUAUCGACCCCUUCCGUGCCGCAGCUAACGCAUUAAGCGCCCCGCCUGGGGAGUACGGCCGCAAGGUUG